GACAGAGGGUGCAAACGUUGUUCGGAAUUACUGGGCGUAAAGCGCGUGUAGGCGGCUAAGUAAGUCGGGCGUGAAAUCCCACGGCUCAACCGUGGAAGUGCACUCGAAAACUGCAUAGCUAGAGUCCUGGAGAGGAAGGUGGAAUGCUUGGUGUAGAGGUGAAAUUCGUAGAUAUCAAGCGGAACACCGGUGGCGAAGGCGGCCUUC
rnacentral:rRNA from 1 species